ACGGGUGAGUAACACGUGAGUAAUCUGCCCUGCACUCUGGGAUAGCCAUCGGAAACGGUGAUUAAUACUGGAUAUGAGCCACCUUCGCAUGGGGGUGGUUGGAAAGUUUUUUCGGUGCAUGAUGUGCUCGCGGCCUAUCAGCUUGUUGGUGGGGUAAUGGCCUACCGAGGCUUCGACGGGUAGCCGGCCUGAGAGGGUGACCGGCCACACUGGGACUGAGACACGGCCCAAACUCCUACAGGAGGCAGCAAUGGGGAAUAUUGGACAAUGGGCGGAAGCCUGAUCCAGCAACGCCGCGUGAGGGAUGACGGCCUUCGGGUUGUAAACCUCUUUCCUCUGGAAGAAGCGCAAGUGACGGUACCUGCAGAAGAAGCACCGGCUAACUACGUGCCAGCAGCCGCGGUAAUACAUAUGGUGCGAGCGUUGUCCGGAAUUAUUGGGCGUAAAGAGCUCGUACGCAGUCUGUCACGUCAGAUGUGAAAGCCCGGGGCUUAACCCCGGGUCUGCAUUCCAUACGGGCAGACUACAGUGUGGUAGGGGAGAUCGGAACUCCUGGUGUAGCGGUGAAAUGCGCA
rnacentral:rRNA from 1 species